rnacentral:tRNA from 1 species
UGGCUCAGUGGUAGAGCGCUUGCCUUGCAUGCAUGAGGCUGUGGGUUUGAUUCCUC